CCUACGGGCGGCAGCAGUCGAGAAUCAUUCACAAUGGGGGAAACCCUGAUGGUGCGACGCCGCGUGGGGGAAUGAAGGUCUUCGGAUUGUAAACCCCUGUCAUGUGGGAGCAAAUUAAAAAGAUAGUACCACAAGAGGAAGAGACGGCUAACUCUGUGCCAGCAGCCGCGGUAAUACAGAGGUCUCAAGCGUUGUUCGGAAUCACUGGGCGUAAAGCGGGCGUAGGCUGUUUCGUAAGUCGUGUGUGAAAGGCGCGGGCUCAACCCGCGGACGGCACAUGAUACUGCGAGACUAGAGUAAGGGAGGGGGAAGCGGAAUGCGCGGUGUAGCAGUGAAAUGCGUAGAUAUCGAGAGGAACACUCGUGGCGAAGGCGGGUUCCUGGACAUUAACUGACGCUGAGGCACGAAGGCGAGGGGAGCGAAAGGGAUUAGAUACCCCAGUAGUC
rnacentral:rRNA from 1 species